UGCAGUAUUUACAGAUGCACACACUAUCAUAUAGGGACGGUUUGAUCGGCUCCAAACGUAUGAGCUAUAUCAAUAUAUGUUCUCUGCACUUAGGAACAAUGUAUAGAAAUAUACAUCAAACUUCUUAAAUUGCUGAUUUGUAGAAUCCUCUAUCAGGAUGCUGCUUGUUAAUUGUGAAGGACAAGACAAGGCUGGCGAGCUGUCCUAAAUCCUGGAUAGUUGUGGUCUUAACUUGGAACUUCAAUUAAAUUAACAGUCUGGUGCAAAGUGGCAAUGCAGUUGAGAACCCAAUUCUCUUUUUGAAAUGUUUAGAUUCUAGAUUUGUGUUGAUAUCAAGAUUCAAGCGCUUUGGUGAAUAGUUCUAGCUUCGAAUCAAGGAAUGUCUUUACAUCCUUUUUUGACAGUUGCAGGAGCCUUCUAUAUAGCUAUUACAGGUGUUAUUACCAUACCAACAAUUGCGGCAGAAACACUCACGGCUUUGCAGUGGAGCACAUGCUGAAUACCAACAUCUUCUUGGCCUUUGAAGCGACUCCAUGUUGGAUAACCGAUAUGAACUUGUGUUGCUACGAGUCAAUGCCUGGAAAUGUUUUCAACGAACUUGACCAACAAAAAGAUGAAGGGGUAUAAGAAUAUGGUCAAUGGAGUUGAACUGUUGAAGUAUGGUGCCGCAAGGUUAAAUUUUGCAGAGUAGCAUGCGCCUCCUGUAGCUUGUACCAUAGGUAUACCAUGUAAUUGGUGUUUCUGUUGCUUUUCUUGUUUGCCCCUACAUUGUCUUUUGUUGACCCGUUGGUUUUACUUACAACGGAAGGCCCUGAGGUUCCUUUGCUCUCAACAAGAAGGUUGAGGGAAGAAGGGGAAUGCUAAGAAAUAGUCGGAUAUAAUGAAGUAGAAGAAGGAAAAUUCUGCAGGCAUCAAUUGGCAUGGAAGGCUCCUGAAAACUACUUGCCUGCUCUACCCUCAUGCAACUCGUAAUAUUCUUUGUUGGUGUAGGUAAUUUCUUCCAUUAUAAUGUUGCUUAUGGAGUUAUAGACUUAUGGUUAACAAUUUGCAUCUUUAUGGAAAUGGGAAAUUGCAUCUCAAUUGUAAUGAUUGCUAAAACUUAGGCGUUCAAAUGGAGCACAGAGGAAAGAUUUGGAAUUGGACGUUUUUAAUUGAAGUUUUUUGAGGAAACUAUGCUGGAUGGAGAAGGCGAAAAGGAUUCUAAACUGGUCCACUAGACACAAGAUUACGACACAAUCGACAAGUAUUUUAGUUAUUAUCUAAGAUCU